AGUGAACGCUGGCGGUAGGCCUAACACAUGCAAGUCGAACGGCAGCACAGUAAGAGCUUGCUCUUACGGGUGGCGAGUGGCGGACGGGUGAGGAAUACAUCGGAAUCUACUUUUUCGUGGGGGAUAACGUAGGGAAACUUACGCUAAUACCGCAUACGCCCUACGGGUGAAAGCAGGGGAUCUUCGGACCUUGCGCGAUUGAAUGAGCCGAUGUCGGAUUAGCUAGUUGGCGGGGUAAAGGCCCACCAAGGCGACGAUCCGUAGCUGGUCUGAGAGGAUGAUCAGCCACACGGGAACUGAGACACGGUCCAGACGCCUACGGGAGGGAGCAGUGGGGAAUAUGGGACAAUGGGCGCAAGCAUGAUCCAGCCAUACCGCGUGGGUGAAGAAGGCCUUCGGGUUGUAAAGACCUUUUGUUGGGAAAGAAAAGCAGCAGGUUAAUACCCAGCUGUUCUGACGGUACCCAAAGAAUAAGCACCGGCUAACUUCGUG
rnacentral:rRNA from 1 species